GCAUGGUUGUCGUCAGCUCGUGUCGUGAGAUGUUGGGUUAAGUCCCGCAACGAGCGCAACCCCUAUUGUUAGUUGCCAUCAUUCAGUUGGGCACUCUAGCGAGACUGCCGGUAAUAAACCGGAGGAAGGUGGGGAUGACGUCAAAUCAUCAUGCCCCUUAUGACCUGGGCUACACACGUGCUACAAUGGUUGGUACAACGAGUUGCGAGUCGGUGACGGCGAGCUAAUCUCUUAAAGCCAAUCUCAGUUCGGAUUGUAGGCUGCAACUCGCCUACAUGAAGUCGGAAUCGCUAGUAAUCGCGGAUCAGCACGCCGCGGUGAAUGCGUUCCCGGGCCUU
rnacentral:rRNA from 1 species